rnacentral:hammerhead_ribozyme from 1 species
AUCCAGUUGACGAGUCUUAAAAACAGGAGGAAACGCGCGUCGGGGAU